rnacentral:lncRNA from 1 species
AUUCAAUGAUGACACCGCCGGCGGCACCCGUGACGUUGCCUUCUUCGUAGACAAACCCGUUUGUGCACGUGAUGGCCGAGCCGGCGCCCGAACCGCUGUUGAGCGCCGGACGGUUACAUCGUUAAAGACGGCGUUGCCGCCGUUGCCGUUGAAUCCAGCCGCGCCGCCCCACCCGUAGCACGCCGAAGUGAGCCAUCCCGAGCCGCCGCCCCACGACCGGCCAGGCGACGUCCAACCGGCACCCUGGUUAAAGGGCUGGACAAAAUCGCCGCCCACAGAGCCGUACCCGGCGCCGGCGCCGCCGGCCUUGACGUCGCCCACCAUGGCGCCCUCGGUGGGUGGACCCACCGGGUUGUUGUCCACGCCGCCCAUCGGGGUGCCGCCGCCGGGCACCGGCCGACGGCCGACGAUCCCUGACCGCCGCCGCCACCUCCCUGGCACGCACGGGCUCGUCGGGAUCAGUGACCUUGGCACCGCCGCCGCCAUAGGCCGUCGCGCGAAACAAUUCAGUGCUGUCGGGUCCCAUGGCCACGACGGUCGUCUCGCCGCCGUCGCCCGCCGUGCCGCCAGAAUAGAUGGGUCGUACGCGCCGGCAUCACGGGGCGCACCGCCCUGUCCGACAGUGAUUGCCCACUGGACUUCUUGGAUGGGGAGGCUCCAUGCGUCGCUGCCGGUCGACCGGCCGAUAAUGGCGGCGCCGCUGCCACCGCCCGCUCCGCAACGAAUGUUGACUGCCGAGGCGCCGCCACCGCCCCACAGCGUGAUGGUGACGUUGGUGGCGCUGGCCGGCGCCGACCACGUGCGCGACGUCGGCACAAAGACCGUAUAGUGGUAGAGAGAGGCUACCGGCGGGACCGCCACCAGGCAGAGGGCGACGAGCGCCACGGCGGUGACAAGCACCGCGCCGAUCGACGGGCGUCUGCCAGACUUGAUUGUCGUUGCUCUUUGCAUUCCGUUCCCGCUUGGUGUGUUUCGGUUUGCGUGAGAAGGGUUCUUUUAAGGGCUCUUGGUCUUUGUUUGUCACCUAUAAAUAGAAGAAUGUGUG